GGGUCGGUAUGCAAGUGGUCAAAGCGAGCGGAUUGUAAACCCGCCUCCGACGGAUUCGAAGUUUCAAAUCCUUCCCGGCCCA
rnacentral:tRNA from 1 species